CUUCAGUGAUGAUACGAUGACGAGUCGGAAUGGGACACACCCAGUCUUUGGGGCCCUCAGAGUCAUGUUUUGUGUCUUUGGGUUCAGUGCCCCAGAGCAGUGUGUUUCUUCAGUUGAGGACAUCGAGGCAUUUGUCUGAGAAGG
ensembl:snoRNA SNORD15 Small nucleolar RNA SNORD15